rnacentral:rRNA from 1 species
UACGGAGGGUGCAAACGUUGCUCGGAAUCAUUGGGCGUAAAGCGCACGUAGGCGGUCCUUCAAGUCGGGUGUGAAAGCCCUCGGCUUAACCGAGGAAGUGCAUUCGAAACUACCGGACUUGAGUACUGAAGAGGGUCGCGGAAUUCCCGGUGUAGAGGUGAAAUUCGUAGAUAUCGGGAGGAACACCAGUGGCGAAGGCGGCGACCUGGGCAGAUACUGACGCUGAGGUGCGAAAGCGUGGGGAGCAAACAGG